UACAGAGGGGGCAAGCGUUGUUCGGAAUUACUGGGCGUAAAGGGCGCGUAGGCGGCCUGUUAAGUCGAACGUGAAAUCCCCGGGCUCAACCCGGGAACUGCGUCCGAUACUGGCAGGCUUGAAUUCGGGAGAGGGAUGUGGCAUUCCAGGUGUAGCGGUGAAAUGCGUAGAUAUCUGGAGGAACACCGGUGGCGAAGGCGGCAUCCUGGACCGAUAUUGACGCUGAUGCGCGAAAGCCAGGGGAGCAAACGGGG
rnacentral:rRNA from 1 species